CGGACGGGUGAGUAACGCGUGGAAAACCUGCCGUAUACUGGGGGAUAACACUUAGAAAUAGGUGCUAAUACCGCAUAAGCGCACAGCUUCGCAUGAAGCGGUGUGAAAAACUCUGGUGGUAUACGAUGGUUCCGCGUCUGAUUAGCUAGUUGGUGGGGUAAUGGCCUACCAAGACAACGAUCAGUAGCCGGCCUGAGAGGGUGAACGGCCACAUUGGGACUGAGACACGGCCCAAACUCCUACGGAAGGCAGCAG
rnacentral:rRNA from 1 species